GAUGAACGCUGGCGGCGUGCCUAAUACAUGCAAGUCGAGCGAACGGACGAGAAGCUUGCUUCUCUUAUGUUAGCGGCGGACGGGUGAGUAACACGUGGAUAACCUACCUAUAAGACUGGGAUAACUUCGGGAAACCGGAUCUAAUACCGGAUAAUAUUUUGAACCGCAUGGUUCAAAAGUGAAAGACGGUCUUGCUGUCACUUAUAGAUGGAUCCGCGCUGCAUUAGCUAGUUGGUAAGGUAACGGCUUACCAAGGCAACGAUGCAUAGCCGACCUGAGAGGGUGAUCGGCCACACUGGAACUGAGACACGGUCCAGACUCCUACGGGAGGCAGCAGUAGGGAAUCUUCCGCAAUGGGCGAAAGCCUGACGGAGCAACGCCGCGUGAGUGAUGAAGGUCUUCGGAUCGUAAAACUCUGUUAUUAGGGAAGAACAUAUGUGUAAGUAACUGUGCACAUCUUGACGGUACCUAAUCAGAAAGCCACGGCUAACUACGUG
rnacentral:rRNA from 1 species